rnacentral:rRNA from 1 species
UACGUAGGGUGCGAGCGUUAAUCGGAAUUACUGGGCGUAAAGCGUGCGCAGGCGGUUCGUUGUGUCCGAUGUGAAAGCCCCGGGCUUAACCUGGGAAUGGCAUUGGAAACUGGCGGGCUGAGUGCGGCAGAGGGGGGUGGAAUUCCGCGUGUAGCAGUGAAAUGCGUAGAGAUGCGGAGGAACACCGAUGGCGAAGGCAGCCCCCUGGGUCGACACUGACGCUCAGGCACGAAAGCGUGGGGAGCAAACAGG